rnacentral:lncRNA from 1 species
UCAGCCUCUGGGGAUUGGCUUCUUGGGUCACUCUGGAGAAGGUCCAUGCCUAAAACUGUCAGGAGCUUGUCCUACACUUGAGUAGGACCCUGGCAGAGACACAUGCCCGACCGGCAUGUUCUCUCCCUCCUGGUCGUUCAUUCGGGAGCUUCAAAAGCUUGCUUCAGCCUGAACAUUACAGCGACCGAUGUCAACAGACAUUGGCACACUUAGGGAUCCUCAAAGUCUUCACAGCUUGUGUAACGGACCUCAGCAACUCAGCAUUUUGGCUAAUCUACUUUUGUUGUUGUUUAGUCAUUUAGUCGUGUCUGACUCUUCGUGACCCCAUGGACCAGAGCAUGCCAGGCACUCCUGUCUUCCACUGCCCCCGCAGUUUGGUCAAACUCAUGUUGGUAGCUUCGAGAACAUCCAACCAUCCCGUCCUCUGUUGUCCCCUCCUCCUUGUGCCCUCAAUCUUUCCCAGGAUCAGGGUCUUUUCCAGGGUGUCUUCUCUUCUCUACUUUAUUUACAUAUAAAUACACACGGAGCACUGCAACAUGGCUCCCUCGCUCUUUAGCAUCAGACAGCAAAGAGAAAGAACACAGGACAAUAGUCCCACUUCACGGAACACAGGAACACAAACAUCCUGUCUCUGUCACUUCCCACUCUGUGGAGUCAAAACAUACACCGUCAUGUGAUAGACAAAAAUCCCAUGACUGCAAUCACGGAGCAGGAAUUCUAACAAAAACACCAAAGAAUUGUUGUUUCUACAGUGGUACCUGUAGAAACUUAAUUCGUUCCGGAGGUCCGUUCUUAACCUGAAACUGUUCUUAACCUGAAGCACCACUUUAGCUAAUGGGGCCUCCUGCUGCUGCCGCGCCGCCAGAGCACGAUUUCUGUUCUCAUCCUGAAGCAAAGUUCUUAACCCGAGGUACUAUUUCUGGGUUAACGGAGUCUGUAACCUGAAGCGUAUGUAACCUGAAGCAUAUGUAACCCGAGGUACCACUAUAUAUGCUUGAAUGCUAAACAUUUAGGAAUACUGAAAACACAGGGCAUUUCCAUUCCAAGAGAAUGGUGUGCAUGUUCUGUUAUGAACAAUGGACCUUCAUGCAAAACACAACGUAAGUCAUUCAGAAAGAAGAUGUCGGAGCACUCCAAAUCAUUUGGACAAGUACGUGCAGGGAACAUAGUAGGCCUAGUGGACAGGCAACACAUGGAGAUCUGCAUUGGUUGUUGCAAUGCACCCCUAAUUAUCACUUUUGUAUAAUUAUAGAAUUCUUGCAUACCCUUAGAAGGGGCAGGGCUGUAACUUACACAAAGGGACCCUGAAUUUGCCACUACACUACUGGAUGGGGGUUGUAGUAGUAGAACAACUUCUAGGGGCACUACAUUGGUAACUGUGGCUCGAAAAUUACUUCUGCUGCUGCAGAAGACCAAACACACACACACACACACACACACACACACACACACAGUCAAGAGAGAAAGAACAGCAGGAAGAAUUGUUGAGAAAGGUCACCAUUGUUUGCUCCCAAGAGAUUAUGGCAAAGGCACCUUUGCUAAAAGUCAAAUCAUCUGCAUCAUUUAGGAAGAACAGGAAAAGGGCUAUUAGGCUGCAAAAUGAGCAUGAACAAUGCAGCCCUCACUGUGGGCAAAAUGGUUUUAAUAGGAUCUGCAGGGAACUUGAUCUGCCACCAAGUGUUUGAUCCUUUCCUAUAGACAAUCUCUCGUCUAUAUUCACGCACAUACAGAACCCUGGAUUGUAUUCGAGUGGCAUUUUGAGUUCAAAUGUCACAUCUGAUUGGCUAACAUAACUCUGGACGCAAGCCAAGGAGAGAGAGAGAGAGAGAGAGAGCGCCAGAGCUAAUGUCUAACUGGAUGUGACAGAACAUUAAAUCGCUGAGCAGCAGCUAAGGAAUUCCUUUCUGUUGCUUUCAAUAGGACUUUCUCGGGACUCAACCAGCCCCACUGAAAUCAAUGGAAGUCUGUAUCUGAGAAGUUGUGCCCACAGAUUUGCAACGUUUGUCUCGCUUUUGCUCGAUUGAUGGUCUGGGUCAUUUUAAAAGGCUUUCCCUGGAAGCAUGUGGCUGUGUUUGUAUCUCGCUUAUAUCCUCUGUACAUGCAUAGCCCUUGUAAGCUUAUGCAAAGGUGUGGUUGCCAUCCACUGUAAUCCACAGGACGGAAGUAGCUCUGUGGCAGGCUAAUAUGUGGUCAACAGAGGUGUAGUGGCCAGGAUCACAGGGAAGGGCUGGCGCUGUGGGUAAACCACAGAGCCUAGGACUCGCCGAUCAGAAGGUCGGCGGUUCAAAUCCCCGCAACGGGGUGAGCUCCCGUUGCUCGGUCCCUGCUCCUGCCAACCUAGCAGUUCGAAAGCACGUUCAAGUGCAAGUAGAUAAA